ensembl:snRNA U6 U6 spliceosomal RNA
GUGCUCACUUCAGCAGCACAUACACUAAAAUUGCAACAAUAUAGAGAAAAUUAGCAUGGCCCCUGGGCAAGGAAUGCUGGGAAGCAUUCCAUAUUUUA